GCAAGAUCUAGUCCUAGAAAUACACUAUAUUAAACUAUUUUUUAAACUUACAAAACAUUCAAUUAAACCCUAGUAUAGGAGAUAGAAAAGAUAAGUCAUCAGGCACAAUAGAGAGAGUACCGUGAGGGAACGUUGAAAGAUUUCAUCCUAUAAGCAACAAAAAGCAAAGACUUCACCUUCUACCUUUUGCAUAAUGAUUUAGCUAGUCAAACCGGACAAAAAGAAUUAAAGCCCGUCUUCCCGAAAUUAAGUGAGCUAUUAUAGAACAGUUAAAAGAACAAACUCGUCUGUGUAGCAAAACAGUGAGAUGAUUUUAUAAUAGAGGUGAAAGGCCUAUCGAACUUAAUGAUAGCUGGUUGUCCAAAAAAUGAAUUUAAGUUCGACUUUAAAUUUAACUUAAGUAUUCACAAACACUAUUUAAAUUUAAAUGCUACUCAAAAGAGGGACAACUCUUUUGAUAUGUAGACAAACUUUUAUAGAGGAUAAUGAAACCUAUACAAUACAUUGUAGGCCUAAAAGCAGCCAUCAACUAAGAAAGCGUUAAAGCUCAAACUUACCCAGCAUUUAAUACCUUAAACUAAUCAAAAUCCCUAACCUUAUAUUGGACAAUUCUAUAAUUACUUAGAAGAUAUAAUGCUAAUAUGAGUAACCUGAAUUAAUUCUCCUUGCACAAGCAUAAAUACAGAUCGGAACAACCGCUUACACUUAAUCAAAUAGAUAACUAUAAUCACAUACUAGUACCAUACCACACAUUUCGUUAAUCCAACCCAGGUGUGCAUACAAAGGAAAGAUUAAAAGGAAUAAAAGGAACUCGGCAAACAUGAACCCCGCCUGUUUACCAAAAACAUCACCUCUAGCACUUACCAGUAUUAGAGGCACUGCCUGCCCGGUGAGUUGUGACUUUAACGGCCGCGGUAUCCUGACCGUGCAAAGGUAGCAUAAUCACUUGUCUCUUAAUUGGAGACUAGUAUGAAUGGCAUCACGAGGGCCUCAACUGUCUCUUAUUCCCAAUCAGUGAAAUUGACCUUCCCGUGCAGAGGCGGGAAUAUAUAUACAAGGACGAGAAGACCCUGUGGGAGCUUAAGUCCCAUAACUCAACAAAUACGAACUAAUACCCUACUGGAAUAAACCGUAUAUGCCACUGAGUUAUAGUCUUUGGUUGGGGUGACCUCGGAGCAUAAAAUAACCUCCGAAUGAAUAUUAACCUAGAUUAACAAAUCCAAGUGUAACAAUACCAGUAAUUGACCCAUAUUUUGAUCAACGGAACAAGUUACCCCAGGGAUAACAGCGCAAUCCUAUUUGAGAGCCCAUAUCGAAAAUUAGGGUUUACGACCUCGAUGUUGGAUCAGGACAUCCAAAUGGUGCAACCGCUAUUAAAGGUUCGUUUGUUCAACGAUUAAAGUCCUACGUGAUCUGAGUUCAGACCGGAGAAAUCCAGGUCGGUUUCUAUCUGUAAAUUCAUUUCUCCCAGUACGAAAGGACAAGAGAAAUAGGGCCAACACUCCAAAUAAGCCCUAGAACCAAUAUAUGAAUAAAUCUAAAUAUACUAAACCAAUAUACACCCAUACCCCAGAAUAGGGU
rnacentral:rRNA from 1 species